UCAGAGUUGGUUUAGGAAAACUAAGAAGGUGUCGGUGGGGUAGUGACUUAUGUAACAAAUUCAACUAAUCAGAGUUGGUUUAGGAAAACUAAGAAGAGCUAUUCAGUUUCAGUGACCUUGCU